AUCCAUGAUUUAUCUUUCCGUCUGAUUGAUGGCCGUCAGCGGUUGGGUAGAAGACAACAAAUCAUUCCACGCUUCCUCUUAGAGUCAUCAAAACACGCGAUUGUUAUUGUUUUGGUAAUGCGCCCUCUCGUGGCAGGUCCUACAACCUGUACCUUUAAGUUUUAUUGAAAUGUCUGAAAUAUCUGGGGAAGAAAUGAGUAUUGAUGACAAAGAGACCCAUUCUUGUGUGUGUUUAGAAUAAUUUCCCAGCUAGCAGUCCAGAGAGACUGCAGGACCUCAAAUCUACUGUGGACCUACUAACCAGUAUCACAUUCUUCAGGAUGAAGGUCCAAGAGCUCCAGAGUCCUCCUCGUGCCAGCCAGGUAGUGAAGGACUGUGUGAAGGCUUGCCUCAACUCUACCUACGAAUACAUUUUCAACAACUGCCACGAGCUGUAUAGUCGAGAAUACCAAACAGACCCG